rnacentral:lncRNA from 1 species
UCUAACUGAAGUGCUGAGAAGAGACUGUUGAGUUCCUAGCCUCGUAAGAUCGCUCUGUCAUCCCCUUUCAAGGCUGAAGGACUAUCACGGAAAAGAGGGUGGAAAGAACAUAAGAGCUAGAGGAAGAAGCUGUAUUCUGAGUAUGCUGUGUCCACAUCAUCGAGUGGGGAGUGACUGGCUCCCACAGCACAGAAGGAAAGAAUGGAAAGUUCUGGGGCCAUCAGGAUCUCCCUUCUCUUCCAGAUCAGUUACCAGUUACCCUCAGGCAACAUACUUGUGCUAAAGGAAAGCCAUGAAGAAAAGCAGCCUUCCUUAGAGAAGAAUCAGUGUUCUCUGAUGUGAUUGGGAACUGCUCCUUAAUGGACGUGCCUACCCCACUGCAUAUGCUGUGACUCACCUCUCCCUGAGGAUUGUUCCCUACUGGGCAUGUUCCCAUCCAGCCCUCCAGGCUGGCUUUGCAUUGGUUUUCCCCACAGGUGUUCUCUUGCACUGUUAACUGCUGGCUGUUCCCCUAUAUCCAUAUCAUGAGAGAUUACACAUUUUACAGGGACUAUAUCUUUCACUCUACCAGUAGUACAACAUGCAGUAAGGAUUUGUUGUGGAGUGUGAAUGCAUUAUCUUCCUAAGCAAGAUCUUAUGUGCACUCCCUCUUCCUAAGCAAGGAUCUUAUGUGCACUCCCUCUUUUGCUGUGACUUCAUCACAAGAGUGGCUGGCAUUGCACGUACCUCAUUCCCACACGUGUGUUCACAAUUACUAUUAUUCCCCUUGGGUCUCCCCCAGAAAGUCUCUG